rnacentral:rRNA from 1 species
UACGGAGGGGGCUAGCGUUGUUCGGAAUUACUGGGCGUAAAGCGCACGUAGGCGGCUUUGUAAGUUAGAGGUGAAAGCCCAGGGCUCAACCCUGGAAUUGCCUUUAAGACUGCAUCGCUUGAAUCAUGGAGAGGUGAGUGGAAUUCCGAGUGUAGAGGUGAAAUUCGUAGAUAUUCGGAAGAAACACCAGUGGCGAAGGCGGACUCACUGGACAUGUAUUGACGCUGAGGUGGCGAAAAGCGUGGGGAGCAAACAGG